AAUUUUGGACAAUGGGGGAAACCCUGAUCCAGCCAUCGCGCGUGUAUGAUGAAGGCCUUCGGGUUGUAACGUACUUUUGGCAGAGAAGAAAAGGCAUCCCCUAAUACGGGAUGUUACUGGCGGUAUCUGCAGAAGAAGCACCGGCUCACUACGUGCCAGCCGCCGCGGUAAUACGUAGGGUGCGAGCGUUAAUCGGAAUUAAUGGGCGUAAAGAGUGUGUAGGCGGUUCGGAAAGAAAGAUGUGAAAUCCGAGGGCUCAACCAUGGAACUACAUUUUUAACUGCCGGGCUAGAGUAUGUCAGAGGGGGGUAGAGUUACACGUGUAGGAGUGAGAUGCGUAGAUAUGAGGAGGAAUAACGAUGGCGAAGGCAGCCCCCUGGGAUAAUACUGACGCUCAGACACGAAAGCGUGGGGAGCAAACAGG
rnacentral:rRNA from 1 species